rnacentral:rRNA from 1 species
AACGCGAAGAACCUUACCUGGGUUUGACAUCCCACGAAUUUUACAGAGAUGUAAAGACUCGCAAGAGACGUGGAGACAGGUGCUGCAUGGCUGUCGUCAGCUCGUGUUGUGAAAUGUUGGGUUAAGUCCCGCAACGAGCGCAACCCUUGCCUUUGGUUGCCAACAUAUAAGGUGGGCACUCCAGAGGGACUGCCGUCGUCAAGACGGAGGAAGGUGGGGAUGACGUCAAGUCCUCAUGGCCUUUAUAUCCAGGGCGACACACGUGAUACAAUGGUAGGUACAGAGGGUAGCGAAGUGGUGACACGGAGCCAAUCCCAAAAAGCCUAUCUCAGUUCGGAUUGGAGUCUGCAACUCGACUCUAUGAAGUUGGAAUCGCUAGUAAUCGCGGAUCAGCACGCCGCGGUGAAUACGUUCCCGGGCCUUGUACACACCGGCUAC